rnacentral:tRNA from 1 species
GGUUUUAUAGUAAUAAUUAAAAACGUCAAAUUGCAAAUUUGAAAAUGUGCUAACACUAAAACUUUAAGACCUAAAAGAAAUUCU